UUUAUUUAGGCUUAUCUUUCACUCCAUAAUGCUACUGAAGUACUGUCUAGCCCUGAUUUUGGUGUGUUGUGCAGGGCUGACUUUUGCCCAGUGACUGCUCUCUCAAGCCCGCACGUGUGUUUUUUGUUUGUUUUUUUUUCUCCUCCAGGCUUGCAUGUUGAAUUUGCAAUGUUAUAAUGAGAGCCAUUUUAUUAUGAUAAUUCGUAAAGAAAUCUGUAAAGGGUAAUGCUUGCAAAUUUCUGAGCCAAUGUUUGCCUUCCCCUGUAAAUACACGCUAAGUCAUCAUUUUUAAGCAGUAGGUGAUGUUUCUGAAGGCUGUAAACAGCUGCAAAUACUACUUAGAAAUCACUAUUUCAUUUUAAAAUGUUGUCCAGUUAAGAAGGCAAUGGAAAUCAAUGCUGAAACUAGUAUGUAUUUAGUACAUGGUAAAUCUGGAAAGUUGAAGAAAAGAUGGCAGUCCGUACUGGAAACGUCCUUGCUGCUACAAGGACAAGUGGGGAAAAAAAUACUUGUGAGCACAUAUUUAAGGAAUAAAUAUAACAGAGAACAUUAAAUCUAUGUUAUUGCUAAAAUGAAUGGUCUCUACUGCAUGAAGGGUAGAAAUAUUCCAUAGAGCUGCUUCUGUAAUGAACAGUUUUAACAGAAAUAGUGCAAUAUAUUAUGAUGGUAAAAUAUUUUCUAAUUGAUUGGUAGCAAGUUAGUAUGUUAAACAGCAACUGCUGACAGGAAACAUUUUGAUGGAUUGAGUAACUUGAAGUAACUUGAGCCUGGAAGUAUUAAAAGCACUUGGUGAGGAGCGUUCUGAACCUGUGAUGUGAAUUUUCAACAGUCAUUGGAAGGCUGGGGAAAAGUCAGAAGACUUGAAGAGUGGGAGAAAGGAUGAGAUUUUUUCAAUAUUUAGGAAAAGAGGAUUAUGGACUACGAAUUUCAAUUUGAGUGCUCUUGAAAUUCACCUUCUGAUGCUUUUUUCGGGUAAUAAAUACUUGAGGUAUGUAUUAUACAAAUAUAGCCUUAAGGCUAUGGACUCUGCUUAAGGCUGAACCUUGCAAUUUCUGUUACCGUGUCCCUUACAAACUUGUCUUGAAGAAUUCAGGCUGUACUCACAGCCAAGGGAAUUCUAGCUUGGAAGAAAAAACUUGUCUGUCAGGACAGUUUAAUUUGACAGUUCAGUGUUAUGGCAGAGAAGCUCUGAUGGGUUAUGAAGAUGUAAGAUUGGGAGGAGAGUGAGCACAAGUAGAAAGUGCUUAGGGUGUAAGACUUUGAAACAGGUACAGUUUCAUGUUUGCAUGCACUUGCUUACUCAAGUAACAAAGUCUGUCGUGGUAUGCCAGAGGAAAAAAGUGCCCUUAAGAUGCUGCCCCCUUUGUAAGAACAGGAAGGGGAAGACUGUAGUUCUGUCACAGGAAUUUUGGUAGAGGUCACGUCAGAAGUGCUCCAAGAACAGGAAAACAGUGUUCCUGCAGGAGUUCCUUAAUGGAUUUUUACAUGCCUAUUUCAGCUAAAACAAUAACUUUACCUAGUGCAUAUCCCUGCUCUGAGCUGCAGCUACUAGAGCUGAAAAGUCCCUGGCUCCUGUCCCAGAGAGCUGAGUCCAGUGACCCAUGAAGUCUCCCUUCUGAGCUCCUUCUUCCUGUUCCCCAGAAGUCAGGAAGUUCAAAAUUCCCACUGUCUGUGAGUCUCGUGACAGUGACCUGCGACAGAUUUAUGGACUUCAGAAGCUUUAAUAUAUGCAGUUUAAUUAUUUUCUCAGCAUGCACCUGUAUUAGCUGGGUGGGAUUUUUGUUAGGAACAGAUCUCUGACCAAAUUCCUAGGCCUGUUGCAUAUAUGAUUUUAAUGGACAUCUAACUAUCUGUAAUCAAAGACAAAUAUUUAGUGCAGAUUUUAAUUAAAAAUAUUUAAAAGGAAAAUUUAACUUUUACAUAUGCUCAAAUUUGUUUUUGUUGGGAUGAUCCUUUAUGGAAGUCUUUACAACCCAGAAUCUUUCGAAUUUAAUGUGCAACAGGUAAUAAAUUGUCCAUUCGAGGCAUAAUUUCCCUUGUUUUUUCCCCUAAUUUAACUUUCUGAUGCUCCAAAGCUUGCUUUAGAAAUUAACCCUCAAAAGCAAUCAAGAGCUCGCAGCUCCUAUGUUCUUCUCACAGAAGCCACCCCUGUGGCCCACUGCUACCAAAACUUGCCACAAGUCCAGGUAGAUGAUGUCAGUUGCUCUUCUCCUAUCCACCGAUGCUGUUACCCCACUGUUUAUGUAAAUGUAUAUAAAAAUGUAUCUUCAUGUAAAGAUGUUCAUGCAAAAUUAAUUACUCGGGUUUUCUUAAUGUAAGGUUUUUUUUUAAUUUCUGAUGCUUUAUUUUUGUUCUUUGCAAUGCUUGAAAAUAUAGAAUAAUCAUAAGAUUACCAAUAAUUAUUUUAUGAUUAUUAAGUUAAUUAUUAUUAAAUCAUAAUAAUGACGUAACUACUAAAAUAACUACUAUUUAAAUGCAUAAAGGGGUUUGCAAAAAGUAAAGUCUAGUAAGCAAGUAGAGUCCUUAGUCUUCACGAGCUCCCAUUCCAAAUCUCAGGGAGGGGUGGGGAAUGGUCACUGAAUGGAGAAUAUAGUUUCGUGGGUU